rnacentral:rRNA from 1 species
CCUACGGGGUGCACCAGUGGGGAAUAUUGGACAAAGGGCGAAAGCCUGAUCCAGCAAUGCCGCGUGUGUGAAGAAGGUCUUCGGAUUGUAAAGCACUUUCGACGGGGACGAUGAUGACGGUACCCGUAGAAGAAGCCCCGGCUAACUUCGUGCCAGCAGCCGCGGUAAUACGAAGGGGGCUAGCGUUGCUCGGAAUGACUGGGUGUAAAGGGCGCGUAGGCGGUUUAUGCAGUCAGAUGUGAAAUCCCCGGGCUUAACCUGGGAACUGCGUUUGAGACGCAUAGACUAGAGGUCGAGAGAGGGUUGUGGAAUUCCCAGUGUAGAGGUGAAAUUCGUAGAUAUUGGGAAGAACACCGGUGGCGAAGGCGGCAACCUGGCUCGAUACUGACGCUGAGGCGCGAAAGCGUGGGGAGCAAACGGGAUUAGGUACCCGAGUAGUC